rnacentral:lncRNA from 1 species
UGGAAAAGUGAUUGGGUCAGAGUGAUUUGGCCAAAACACUGCCCAGAUCAAGCUGAAGCAGAAACCUGGAGGCAACAGGCAGAAGUGAUUUGGGCAAGCGAUCUGCCCAAAUCACCGCCCAAAUCACUCGCAGAGACAGAAAGCUAAAAACUGGACUGACUCACGGAAAAGCGAUUGGGGCAAGUGAUCUGCCCAAAUCACUGCCCCAAUCACACUGACAGCAGAAACAGACAGCAGAGGCGGAAAAAGUGCAGGGAACCGAAAUUCAAAUUUUGAGAAGACCAAAUCCAACUCAAUCACUGCCAACACAAUUCCAAGAGCCACGAAAGAGUUUCUCACCUAAGGAAUUCCAUUUGCAAUUAAAUUCAACAUCAAAAGAGGAAUCAAAAACCAAAUCAAAAAAGGAUUUCAAAACCCUAGAUGGAUGGGAUUCUUCAGCUAUAAAAGAGCAGCCUCCAAACCAGCAAAGGGACAUCAUCUCAGCAUCCUCUCCUCCUCGGGAAUUCUGCAGAAAUACAACAGAACU